AGGGUUUUGGGGCCGACCCAGAGGAAAGAAAGCCCCUACCCCACCCCCAGUCCACCUGGGUCCCGAAGCCAGUGUUCUGAACCUGCCGGGGUGCUGAGUGCUUGGGGAAGUGGAGAGAGUCGGUGCCUGCCCCUCCCCGCUGAAUGUCUGCUUUGUUCCGGAAAACAAGGGGAGCAUUAGGCUCCUAGAGAAACACAAAACUUUUUGAAUCUCGGGAAGCGUAGCUGAUUGCGUUACGAAGCUCCAAAGACAUACAGAGGAAGGGCAAAGCUGAAAGGGCGGGGAGAGGCAGGGAGACUUCCGAGAGAGGCCCACGGACAAAGUAUGUGUGGGGGGAGCCGCUCGGGGUGACCGGGCCAAGACUCGGGAACUCGAUUCGGGGAGAAGGUGCCGCGAAAGUUCCAGCGAGGAGUCGGCCCAGCCAAGUGGCGCCUGCCCAGCCAGCGGCCGUGCCAGCUUCCUGCCCUGCCCAGGACCGCGGAGCAGUCGGGGACGCCGCAGCAGGCUGGCCCGGAAUCGCAGGACGACAGCAUGGGGGAGGAGGGCCGAAGCAGCAAGUAAACCCCAACUACAGCUUUCUGCCCACACCGCCCUCAUCCACUCCAGUGGGCCAGGGCUUGAGGGUCUGUGGGGCGUUGGCUCUGGACUUUCAUCCCGGGCUCGCUGGGUUUCUAACUUCCUCUAAAUCUCCCUCCACGCUCCGAAAAGCCCCGAGGAGAGGAGCCGAGAGGAAGCACGCCGCUAGUGUGCGAAAUGAAGACCAUGUGUGAGGAUGGCGACAUCAGAGUGCAGCCGCGGGGGAAGGGGGUGGCGAAGGCCCCCCGCACAGCCCGAGGCCCCAGGUCGCAGUAGCCAGCGCCCGGGCUAGGCGUUGGGGACUGGGAGACGCAGCGAGAGGCAGUGGAGAAACUGCUGGCCUCGUGGUGGGCUGCGAGGAGGGGGUGCGGGAGCUGUCGAGCCUGGCGGGGGGGGGGGUGGCGGGGACGCAGCCCCGGCUUCUUGAGCCGCAGCUGCGACCGAAGGCGCAAGAGCAGAUCGUGUUCGGCGGCAGUGGUGGUGGCGGUGGCGGUGGUGGCGGUGGCGGCGGCGGCAGCAGCGGCAGCUCUGGCCCCGCUGCGCUGGCAGCUGAGAAUCAACAAAGGGAGGCGGCGGGCGAACGGGGGAGGGGCGCCGCCGAGCGUUCGCGGACUGCUGUGGAAUAAUAAAAAAUAAUUAAUAAUGAUAAUAAGAGAAAAAUCCCCGGCUUUCAUGGCUCUGGGUUUCCGUGUGGCUGCAGCGGGAAGCGCGCUGUCCUUGAGGCGGCCUCUCUCGCCUGGCCUGCCCGCCCCUCCCCCUUCCCUCGCCCCCUCCCCUCCCCAGGAACCGGGAAGAGAAAGGUCUGCAGCUGACAAAUAUUAUCCAUUCUCCCCAUCGAUCGCGGAGUGUACAGAUGUGAGCGCUUGAUGUGCCCGCGGAGCGGCGGAUCCUCCCUACUCGCUCGCUCUCGCCCAGGCUCCACUCGCCGCCCCCUCCUCCCCCUUUGUUCUCCUCCCCUUUCCCUCUCUUUAAAUAGAUUUCAGGGCGCUGCCUGUUGGAGAGCAGCUGGCGAUCUCUCCGGAGAGAGGGAACAAGCGCAGCCCGAGGUGCCCUGUCAUCAGCCUCCCUCCCCCACAUCGCCUUCCCGUUACGAGGCCCCCCUCCAGUUUCCAAAACAGAAAACACAAGGAACACCCUAGUCCACUGCACCGCG
rnacentral:lncRNA from 1 species